rnacentral:rRNA from 1 species
GAGUUUUGAUCAUGGCUCAGGAUGAACGCUAGCUACAGGCUUAACACACGCAAGUCGAGGGGAAACGAUAUUGGAAGCUUGCUUCCGAUAGGCGUCGACCGGCGCACGGGUGAGUAACGCGUAUCCAACCUGCCCACCACUUGGGGAUAACCUUGCGAAAGUAAGACUAAUACCCAAUGAUAUCUCUAGAAGGCAUCUGAAAGAGAUUAAAGAUUUAUCGGUGAUGGAUGGGGAUGCGUCUGAUUAGCUUGUUGGCGGGGUAACGGCCCACCCAAGGCGACGAUCAGUAGGGGUUCUGAGAGGAAGGUCCCCCACAUUGGAACUGAGACACGGUCCAAACUCCUACGGGAGGCAGCA